UCAUCAGUCAUGCUGCCACAUGAUUCAUGUGAACGAUUCACAAACAGAAUUUUUCACAUAGAAAAGUACUCUAUUUAAAAACUCCCUCAGUACACUGUAGCAUUGACAUUUCUCUGGAUUUAUAUAAGGUUAGACCAUCCUGUGCAUUAGUCCUACAUUGUAUUCUGUUCGCACGGUCAUAAACAGAAUAUUGACUGGUAUAAAGUCAAAUUCCCCAGCAAUUCUGUCCAAGUGAAGUGAAACCCAACAAGAGGGUGCUGUGGCCGCUACUAUAAAAUAAGAAACCCGGCCUUAUUUUAUCCACCAUUCCAUGGGGAUGGAUGACAGAGGAACAGGCAUUGCGCAAUUUAAGCCGUUUAUCUGAAGAGAUGACUCGGUACUUUAUUCAUUACUCACAUGUCCAAACCCCCGUAUUCAGCAACGAGGAACACCAUAUUAUAAUAGUAUCGAUAAGCGUGGAAACUGAUUGAGAAACUAAAAUGAACAACUGAAUUGUAUGCAUUACUGCUGCAAAGGAAAUGUUCAAUUAAGAAUCAAGAGCGGAUAUGUUCAAUUAAGAAAUUUUCCUCAGUGUCCCCACACUUACAAGGAUAUACCCCCCCAAAUCUCCUCAAACGGAAAAGGUAAACAAAAAUAACACUACUUCUCCUUAUAUACCUUUUAUUUUAAUAUAUAUAGAAUUACUUCUCCUUAUAUACAAAAUCAUAAAAUUGAACUUCUAGGCCCUACAUCCCACCUUUCCCAACUCACAACGAUCCCCCAAAGCCGU